rnacentral:rRNA from 1 species
UACGUAGGGUGCAAGCGUUGUCCGGAUUUAUUGGGCGUAAAGAGCUCGUAGGCGGUUUGUCGCGUCGGAUGUGAAAACCCAGGGCUCAACCCUGGGCCUGCAUUCGAUACGGGCAGACUAGAGUAUGGCAGGGGAGACUGGAAUUCCUGGUGUAGCGGUGAAAUGCGCAGAUAUCAGGAGGAACACCGGUGGCGAAGGCGGGUCUCUGGGCCGAUACUGACGCUGAGGAGCGAAAGCGUGGGGAGCGAACAGG